CCUACGGGUGGCAGCAGUGGGGAAUAUUGCGCAAUGGGCGAAAGCCUGACGCAGCGACGCCGCGUGAGGGAUGAAGGUCUUCGGAUCGUAAACCUCUGUCAGCAGGGAAGAACGGUCACUGUGCUAAUCAGCAGUGAAUUGACGGUACCUGCAAAGGAAGCACCGGCUAACUCCGUGCCAGCAGCCGCGGUAAUACGGAGGGUGCGAGCGUUAAUCGGAAUUACUGGGCGUAAAGCGCUCGUAGGCGGUAUGUCAAGUCAAGGGUGAAAUCCCCGCGCUCAACGUGGGAACUGCCUUUGAAACUGGCAAACUGGAGUGUGAGAGAGGAGAGUGGAAUUCCAGGUGUAGGAGUGAAAGCCGUAGAUAUCUGGAGGAACAUCAGUGGCGAAGGCGACUAUCUGGCACAUAACUGACGCUGAGGAGCGAAAGCGUGGGUAGCAAACAGGAUUAGAUACCCCAGUAGUC
rnacentral:rRNA from 1 species